UACGUAGGGUGCAAGCGUUGUCCGGAAUUAUUGGGCGUAAAGAGCUCGUAGGCGGUUUGUCGCGUCUGCUGUGAAAACCCGAGGCUCAACCUCGGGCCUGCAGUGGGUACGGGCAGACUAGAGUGCGGUAGGGGAGAUUGGAAUUCCUGGUGUAGCGGUGGAAUGCGCAGAUAUCAGGAGGGAGCACCAAUGGCGAAGGCAG
rnacentral:rRNA from 1 species